rnacentral:lncRNA from 1 species
AGGGUAGUGCCUAUAUAUAGAGAAUGUCUCUAAGAUUUCUAAGUGAUAGAAGAAUUUUUGAUGAGACAAAAUGAUCUCUCUCUCCCUUCUCCAUGCCUCCCAUCCUCCCUCUAUUCUCUUCCAUGCCCAAGGGUUGGGCAUCCCACUUUCCACAUGCCAAAAGUCUGAGGUGAUUUUUCUUCAAAAGUGAAGACUGAGGAGAAGAAGAAGAAGGCUGC